GUCGGUGGUUAGUAUACUUGAAGGCAGUGUUAAAAAAAAGUGUGGAUGAAUAGAGAACUAUACCAUAACAGUGACUUCACCCUGAUAACUAACAGUAAUGGAUCAUGUGUCUACUCAAUACAUAUAUGUAGUAUCGUGUGCAUACCUGAGCUGAGAGAUGACAUCUUGUAUAGGUUACAACUGUGGGUGUAUCCUCCUGAUGCAACCUUGUAAGUAUAAGUCUUCUGUUGUCUCUCUCAGCAAUAAGGAUGGAAAUUAUAUUUGUAAGGUGUUAACACUGAAAAGACAACAGGGACCUAAACCCUUAUUUAUAUGCCUCUUAGAAAUUAAUGGCAAGAGAAUAUAAAUCGUCCAUCACAAUGUAUAUAGCUCUGUACCCAUAAUAAAGAGGCAACUGUUUAUUUUCUUCUUUUACUAAAUAACAUUUAAGGCUUUAAUAUAUUAUCAAUCCUCAAAUAUUACUCUAUUAAAUCAAUAUUCUGUAACAUGAUUAAACAUAAGUAGUAUAGGCCACAAAUAAAUAUUCUAACAUUCUCCCACUUGGCCGUAUUACUACUUAUAUUUCAAAACAUGUAUUUACAUCUUUAACUUGGCCAAUUAUUGAUUUAAUAUCUUCAUACAUUCUGCACAAGCAAAAGUAUUAUAGCAGACCAAUGCAAUCUAUUUGUAUCACAGUGAAUACAAGACCCUCAUUGAUCAUACCAGCAACACUUCCACAAAGAACAAAAUUAGCAUUAAUCAUAAUGGUAUGAAUAAGAUUUUUUAAUAAGUGAUAAUUAUCAAAUCCAUUCAUAUGGUCCUCCCUCAUGUUUGCUUAUAAAUAUAAAUUCUCGAGUGCACACAAAAUAGUAAUGAGAACAGCAAACCAGUAGUAAAAAGUGAAGUACAAAGUUUCGACAAAAUAAGAGUUUACUUAACAUUAACUUUACAUAACAAAUGACUAUUAGUGGAGCCUUUUAGUCAGACCCAUGUUAGAGACAUGUUGAACAAAAGCUUUAGCUUGUAAGCCUUUAGUGAGUGGAUCCGCCAACAUGUCAUAUGUACUAACAUGCCUGAUUGAAAUACUUUGAUCUUCAACUUUCUCUCUCACAAAUAAAUACUUGGUAUCGAGAUAUAGUCCAGCACCGCUCGAACUUGUGUUGUUUGAGAAAUCAACAGCUGACUUGUUGUCGCAAUAGAGUUUCAGUGGUCUAGAUAUAGAAUCAACAACCUUAAGUCCAGAAAUAAGGUUCCUCAAUAGUAUGGCAUGACAAGUUGCAUGAUAGCAUGCCACAUACUCGGCCAUCAUAGUAGAAGUUGUUGUUAAUUCCUGCUUAUGACUCCUCCAUGAGAUAGGACCUGCUGAAAACAUAAAGAUGUACCCCGAUGUGGAUUUCUUCUCUUCUUUACAUUUAGCAAAAUCAGAGUCAGAAUAACCAAUAACUUCAAGGUUAUCUGUUUUCCUGUAAGUGAGCAUAAAAUCCUUAGUGCCUUGUAAAUAACGCAAAACUUUCUUGGCUGCCUUCCAAUGAUCAAUUCCUGGAUUCGAUUGGUAUCGGCCUAACAUUCCAGUUAUAUAGGCAAUAUCCGGACGAGUGCAAACUUGUGCAUACAUAAGACUUCCAACAAGUGAUGCAUAAGGAAUGAGAUUCAUCUGAUCACGUUCCAACUGGUUUUUGGGACAUUGAUAAGAUCCAAAUUUGUCACCUUUUAAGACAGGGGCAACAUUAGGGGAACAAUUUUGCAUGUUGUACUUUUCAAGAAUCUUGUCAAUAUAAGACCUCUGGGAUAAACCUAAUAGCCCAGGUCUUUCUCGAUGAAUUUCUAUGCCCAAAAUAUAAGAGGCUUCACCAAGAUCCUUCAUAUCAAACUUGCUUGAUAAAAAACGUUUAGUGUCAUACAACAUAUUCAAAUUAUUACUUGCCAGCAAAAUAUCAUCAACAUACAAGACAAGAAUAACAAAAUUGCUCCCAUUGAUUUUUAGGUAUAUGCAUUGAUCCACAAGAUUUUUCUUAAAAUCGAAUUUAGUAAUGACUUCAUGGAACUUUCGGUUCCAACAUCGAGAGGAUUGUCGCAAUCCAUAAAUGGAUUUCUUUAACUUGCAUACCAAAUGUUCUUUUCCUUUAACCAAAAAUCCUUCUGGUUGUGUCAUAUAGACAUCUUCAUGCAAGUCACCAUUAAGGAAUGCAGUUCUAACAUCCAUUUGAUGCAAUUCUAAAUCAUAAUGAGCUGUUAAGGCCAUUACUAUACGAAAUGAGUCCUUUCUUGAGACAGGAGAAAAUGUUUCAUUAUAAUCCAAGCCUUCCCUCUGAGUGAAACCCUUUGCAACCAAUCGAGCUUUAUAUCUUUCAACGUUUCCAUUAGAGUCUAACUUUGUUUUAUAGACCCACUUGCAACCAACAGGUUUUGCACCAGGUGGUAAUUCUACAAGCUCCCAAACGUUAUUAAGCUCCAUUGAUUUCAACUCUUCAUUCAUGGCCUCACGCCAUUGAGUUGAUUGAGCACAAGUUAUGGCUUCAUUAUAAGAGUAAGGAUCAUGAAUUCUGCCCGAGUCAAAAUCAAUUUCAUUAAGAUAUGUUACAAAAUCAUCAUAGACAAUGGGCUUCUUGGGUCUUUCAGAUCUCCGUACAGGCUGCAUAAUUUCAGGAGUGUCAUUAUCAUUAAUAUCGGGUUCAUUAGAUGGUUGUAGCACAAGUCUCUUACUAAUCAACUCUUUUGGAGGUUGUUGUACAUUAGCCUCGGGUAGUACAGUAUUGAAAUCAUAAUUACUGUUAUUUUCAAGGUUGAUAAUUCUUGGCUUAUCACUCCCACUCAAAUUACCACACUCCCAAAAUUCUGCAUGUCUAGUCUCAAUAAUUCGAGUAGUAUGGGAAGGACAAUAAAAUCUAUAGCCUUUAGAUCUCUCAGGAUAUCCAACAAGGUAACAACUAAUAGUUCUGGAAUCGAGUUUAUUUAUAUCGGGAUUGAAAAUUUUAGCUUCUGCGGGACAACCCCACACACGUAAGUAUUUUAAACUGAGUUCCUUUCCUGUCCAAAUUUGGUAAGGAGUUUUAGGAACAGAUUUACUAGGAACCCGAUUUAAAAUGUGUACAGCUGUUUUCAAUGCCUCUGACCAUAAAAAUUGUGGCAAAGUUGAGUUACAUAACAUGCUCCGCACCAUAUCCAUAAGGGUACGAUUUCGUCUCUCUGCCACCCCAUUUUGUUGUGGGGUUCCAGGCAUUGUAUAUUGAGUAAUAAUGCCAUUUUCCUGACAAAAUAAGGCAAAUGGACCUUUUGCUUGUCCCAAGUCGGAGUGUUUACCAUAAUAUUCUCCGCCUCUAUCUGAUCUCACAAUUUUAAUAUCUUCACCUAGUUGUUUUUCAACUUCUGCCUUAAAAAUCUUAAACACGUCAAGUGAUUCAGAUUUUUCUUUAAUCAGGUACACAUAACUAUAACGAGAAUGAUCAUCAAUAAAAGUUAUGAAAUACUUAUGCCCACCAAUUGCAGGGGAAAAAGGUCCACAAAUGUCGGUGUGAAUUAUUUCAAGAACUUUGUUACUUCUAGUGGCACCUUUCUUAUUUCUCUUUAUAAAUUUUCCUUUUAUGCAUUCAACACAAUGGUCAAAAUCAGAAAAAUCAAGAGGAUGUAGAAUUCCUUCUCUUAUCAGACGCUUCAUCCUAUCUUCGGAAAUAUGGCCUAAGCGUUGAUGCCAUAAUUUGGAAGAAUUCUCGGUACCUCGUUUUCUUUUGGUCCCACCAGAAAUAGUAUUUUCAUUCACAUUCAUUGCUAUAAGGGAUUCAGCAAAGACAUUAUCCAGACUUAAUUUAUAAAGUUUUCCAUCUAGAAUACCAGAACCAACAACUUGAGAGUAAUGAUAAAUAACAAUUCUUUUAUCUCCAAACAAAAAUGAAAAAACCAUCGUCAUCAAGUUUCGAUACAGAAACCAAAUUACGAGUCAUACUUGGAACAUAAAGAACAUCAUUUAAAUUCAAGGUGAAACCACUCUCCAAAAGUAACGGAAGAGUUCCUACAGCUUCAACUUGUACAUUCUCUCCAUUGCCAUUUCUAAUGGUUCUUUCCCCCUUUCGGAGUGUCCUCCUUAAAUGGAAUCCCUGUAAUGAAUUAGUAAUGUGAAUCAUAGAGCCAGUGUCAACCCACCAUGUGUUAGAAGGAACAUCAGUAAGAAAGGAUUCAUACAUAACAUAAUUAUAUGAUAUACCUUUCUUUUCAAGCCAUUCUCUAAACUUUGCACAGUCCUUCUGAAUAUGCCCAUGAGUUUUACAAAAAUGGCAUUUCGGACCUGCAUUAGUGUUACUACCUGAAGAUCCAGCCUUAUUUGCAUUAGCGGAACCCACGUUCGAUGAUCCAGACUUAUUUUUGUUUGUAUUAACCCCUUUUUCCUUGUUCCUAAAGCCUUUACCACCUUUGUGGAAUCUUUUGUUCUUAUGAUGCGUAGUGGUUAAGUGAGCAACAUCAGGUUUUUCAACCUUUAGCCUUUCUUCUUCUUGGACACACAUGGCGAUUAAUUCGCUCAUCUUCCAUUUUUCCUUUUGCGUGUUAUAGUUGAUCUUAAAUGGACCAAAUUGCGCAGGAAGUGAUGUCAUAAUGAAGUGAACGAGAAAACCUUCAGAAAUCUCCAUGUCCAUGCCUUUUAACUUAGAGGCCAUGUCACUCAUCAUCAUAAUGUGCUCACGUACUCCACUAAUUCCAUCAUAUUUACUGGUGAGCAUCUUUAAAAUAAGGGUACUAGCAUGAGCUUUAGAAGAACCCUUAAAUUGUUCCUCGACAAAAGUCAAGAACUCUUUUGCACUUUCAGAUUCAGGAAUUGCACCUCUAAUAGCAACAGAGAUUGAGUUCUUCAUAAUCAUAAGGGACAUGCGAUUAGAUUUCUCCCACCUUUCAUAAUCAGCCUUUUGCUCAAUAGAGCUGGUGGCCGUAGGUAUGGUGGGAGGAACUUUAACACGUAAUGCGUAGUCCAAGUCCAUGACGCCGAGAACAAUAUUUAUUUGCUCUUUCCACGCAGUAAAAUUAGCUCCAUUCAGUGGUUCGAUUCCAGAGAGACAGUUACUUAUAGUAGUAGGAUUCAAUGCUGAAAAAUUAUCAAAUUCAUAUAAAAGCUCACAUAAAACUUAAUAAUUCCACAGGCACAAGUAAAAUAAAAUAACCAACAACAAUACAACAGUUAGUCAUAUAAAUCUAUUUUUAACACCAAAAAAAAAAUAGAUUAAUGAGAAGUCAGUGUAUGUUAUUAAUCUUUCGUUGGUCCGAUCAAUAACACACUUAUGACAACCCCAUAACAUAAUGCAAAUAUGUUUAUCUAUGCAUCACCGUUGGGCAAAAAACAAGAUGAACACACUAAUGCAAAAUUCCACUUAAUAACUACAAUUUUUAAUUUUCCGUUGGGUUAAAUCAAAAUUGCAUCUAUCAAAUGUACAUUAUGUGACUAUCAACAAUUUAAUUAUUUCAAUUAAUAAUCUUUCCGUUGGGCCAGACUAUUAAUCUCAAUAACCAAAGUCACUUAUAUGCAUAAAACUUUCUGGUACACUAAUACAGAGAUAGAGAGAUAAUAAUAUUAUAAGAUAAUCAAUCUUAUUACCUAAAGAAUCCAUAAAUUAAAAAAAAAGUUUUUUUUGUAACGUAUGAUACCUUCUACAAAAAGUGAUAGCAGCAUGAAAACACAUAUAUGUAUGAAUAACACUGAAUUAGCUCUGAUACCAGAUGUUAAAAAAAGUGUGGAUGAAUAGAGAACUAUACCAUAACAGUGACUUCACCCUGAUAACUAACAGUAAUGGAUCAUGUGUCUACUCAAUACAUAUAUGUAGUAUCGUGUGCAUACCUGAGCUGAGAGAUGACAUCUUGUAUAGGUUACAACUGUGGGUGUAUCCUCCUGAUGCAACCUUGUAAGUAUAAGUCUUCUGUUGUCUCUCUCAGCAAUAAGGAUGGAAAUUAUAUUUGUAAGGUGUUAACACUGAAAAGACAACAGGG
rnacentral:lncRNA from 1 species